rnacentral:rRNA from 1 species
AGAGUUUGAUCCUGGCUCAGGAUGAACGCUGGCGGCGUGCUUGACACAUGCAAGUCGAACGGACUUUACAUGAAGCCUAGCGAUUGUAAAAAGUUAGUGGCGGACGGGUGAGUAACGCGUGAAUAACCUGCCUUAUACUGGGGGACAACAGUUGGAAACGACUGCUAAUACCGCAUAAGCGCACUAAAGCUGCAUGGCUCAGUGUGAAAAACUCCGGUGGUAUAAAGAUGGAUUCGCGUCUGAUUAGCUAGUUGGUGAGGUAACGGCUCACCAAGGCGACGAUCAGUAGCCGGCCUGAGAGGGUGAACGGCCACAUUGGGACUGAGACACGGCCCAAACUCCUACGGGAGGCAGCAGUGGGGAAUAUUGCACAAUGGGGGAAACCCUGAUGCAGCGACGCCGCGUGAGUGAAGAAGUAUUUCGGUAUGUAAAGCUCUAUCAGCAGGGAAGAAAAUGACGGUACCUGACUAAGAAGCCCCGGCUAACUACGUGCCAGCAGCCGCGGU